GACGAACGCUGGCGGCGUGCUUAACACAUGCAAGUCGGACGGAAAGGCCCUGCUUUUGUGGGGUGCUCGAGUGGCAAACGUGUGAGUAACACGUGAGUAACCUGCCCUUGACUUUGGGAUAACUUCAGGAAACUGGGGCUAAUACCGGAUAGGAGCUCCUGCUGCCUGGUGGGGGUUGGAAAGUUUCGGAGGUUGUGGAUGGACUCGCGGCUUCUCAGCUUGUUGUUGGUGUCGGGGCUUACCACGGAUUUGACGGGUAGCCGGCCUGAGAGGGGGACCGGCAACCAUGGGACUGAUGUGAGGCGGAGAAUACUCCGGGAGGCAGCAGUGGGGAAUAUUGCACCAUGAGCGGCAGCAGGAUGAAGCAACGACGCGGGCGGGAGGAAGGAGUUCGGGUUGUAGACAGCUUCUGCCCGUGAAGAAGAGUGAGUGACGGUAAUGGGUAAAGAAGCACCGGCUAACUACGUG
rnacentral:rRNA from 1 species